AUUGAACGCUGGCGGCAGGCCUAACACAUGCAAGUCGAGCGGAGCGGCGGACGGGUGAGUAAUGCCUAGGAAUCUGCCUGGUAGUGGGGGAUAACGACCGGAAACGGGCGCUAAUACCGCAUAAUAUCAGAUGAGCGUAGGUCGGAUUAGCUAGUUGGUGGGGUAAAGGCCUACCAAGGCGUCGAUCCGUAACUGGUCUGAGAGGAUGAUCAGUCACACUGGAACUGAGACACGGGCCCGACUCCUACGGGAGGCAGCUGUGGGGAAUUUUGGACAAUGGGCGAAAGCCUGUUCCAGCCAUGCGGCGUGUGUGAAGAAGGCCUUCGGAUUGUAAAGCACUUUAAGUUGGGAGGCGUUACCAUCAGAAUAAGCACCGGCUAACUUCGUGCCAGCAGCCGCGGUAAUAC
rnacentral:rRNA from 1 species